UGGCACGAAGUUAGCCGGACCUUCUUAUUCGGGUACAGUCAUUUUCUUCCCCGAAGAAAGAGUUUUACAACCCAAAGGCCUUCUUCACUCACGCGGCAUCGCUGCAUCAGGGUUUCCCCCAUUGUGCAAGAUUCCCCACUGCUGCCUCCCGUAGGAGUCUGGGCCGUGUCUCAGUCCCAAUGUGGCUGGUCUUCCUCUAAGAACAGCUAUUGAUCAUUGCCUUGGUAAGCUUUUACCUUACCAACUAGCUAAUCAAGUGCGGGCUCAUCUUUCGGCGUUAAAACUUUCCCCGUAAGGGCUUAUUCGGUAUUAGCACAAGUUUCCCCGUGUUAUUCCAAACCAAAAGGCAGAUUCCCACAUUAUACUCACCCGUUUGCCACUCAGUAUUGCUACUGCGUUCGACUUGCAUGUGUUAGGCGUGCCGCCAGCGUACGUUCUGAGCCAGGAUCAAACUCU
rnacentral:rRNA from 1 species